GACGAACGCUGGCGGCGUGCCUAAUACAUGCAAGUAGAACGCUGAAGAGAGGAGCUUGCUCUUCUUGGAUGAGUUGCGAACGGGUGAGUAACGCGUAGGUAACCUGCCUUGUAGCGGGGGAUAACUAUUGGAAACGAUAGCUAAUACCGCAUAACAAUGGAUGACACAUGUCAUUUAUUUGAAAGGGGCAAUUGCUCCACUACAAGAUGGACCUGCGUUGUAUUAGCUAGUAGGUGAGGUAACGGCUCACCUAGGCGACGAUACAUAGCCGACCUGAGAGGGUGAUCGGCCACACUGGGACUGAGACACGGCCCAGACUCCUACGGGAGGCAGCAGUAGGGAAUCUUCGGCAAUGGGGGCAACCCUGACCGAGCAACGCCGCGUGAGUGAAGAAGGUUUUCGGAUCGUAAAGCUCUGUUGUAAGUCAAGAACGAGUGUGAGAGUGGAAAAUUCACACUGUGACGGUAGCUUACCAGAAAGGGACGGCUAACUACGUGCCAGCAGCCGCGGUAAUACGUAGGUCCCGAGCGUUGUCCGGAUUUAUUGGGCGUAAAGCGAGCGCGGCGGUUUGAUAAGUCUGAAGUUAAGGCUGUGGCUCAACCAUAGUUCGCUUUGGAAACUGUCAAACUUGAGUGCAGAAGGGGAGAGUGGAAUUCCAUGUGUAGCGGUGAAAUGCGUAGAUAUAUGGAGGAACACCGGUGGCGAAAGCGGCUCUCUGGUCUGUAACUGACGCUGAGGCUCGAAAGCGUGGGGAGCGAACAGGAUUAGAUACCCUGGUAGUCCACGCCGUAAACGAUGAGUGCUAGGUGUUGGAUCCUUUCCGGGAUUCAGUGCCGCAGCUAACGCAUUAAGCACUCCGCCUGGGGAGUACGACCGCAAGGUUGAAACUCAAAGGAAUUGACGGGGGCCCGCACAAGCGGUGGAGCAUGUGGUUUAAUUCGAAGCAACGCGAAGAACCUUACCAGGUCUUGACAUCCCGAUGCUAUUUCUAGAGAUAGAAAGUUACUUCGGUACAUCGGUGACAGGUGGUGCAUGGUUGUCGUCAGCUCGUGUCGUGAGAUGUUGGGUUAAGUCCCGCAACGAGCGCAACCCCUAUUGUUAGUUGCCAUCAUUCAGUUGGGCACUCUAGCGAGACUGCCGGUAAUAAACCGGAGGAAGGUGGGGAUGACGUCAAAUCAUCAUGCCCCUUAUGACCUGGGCUACACACGUGCUACAAUGGUUGGUACAACGAGUUGCGAGUCGGUGACGGCAAGCUAAUCUCUUAAAGCCAAUCUCAGUUCGGAUUGUAGGCUGCAACUCGCCUACAUGAAGUCGGAAUCGCUAGUAAUCGCGGAUCAGCACGCCGCGGUGAAUACGUUCCCGGGCCU
rnacentral:rRNA from 1 species